CAAUCUAAGUAUUCUCAUUAUAUAAGUUCCAAUUCUGGACAUAUUUUGUAAUCUAAAAACGAAUAUCUUUCUAGAUCUUCCACAUAUGUUGACCAACUUGUCUAUAGAAAAACUUUUGCCCAUUGCCUUCUAUUACUCCAUCAACUUUAUUCAUCAUAUUAUCCCCCUUCUCCAUUCAUUCUCAUCUCCUUCACACUCCAAAACUCUAUUAGCAAGUGUAGU
rnacentral:lncRNA from 1 species